rnacentral:rRNA from 1 species
AACGAACGCUGGCGGCAGGCCUAACACAUGCGAGUCGAGCGGACCUUUCGGGGUCAGCGGCGGACGGGUGAGUAACGCGUGGGAAUAUGCCCUUCUCUACGGAAUAGUCCUGGGAAACUGGGGGUAAUACCGUAUACGCCCUUUGGGGGAAAGAUUUAUCGGGGAAGGAUUAGCCCGCGUUGGAUUAGGUAGUUGGUGGGGUAAUGGCCUACCAAGCCGACGAUCCAUAGCUGGUUUGAGAGGAUGAUCAGCCACACUGGGACUGAGACACGGCCCAGACUCCUACGGGAGGCAGCAGUGGGGAAUCUUAGACAAUGGGGGCAACCCUGAUCUAGCCAUGCCGCGUGAGUGAUGAAGGCCUUAGGGUUGUAAAGCUCUUUCAGCUGGGAAGAUAAUGACGGUACCAGCAGAAGAAGCCCCGGCUAACUCCGUG